CUCAGCAGAUAACACUUCCUCCACCACCUGCAUGAAACCAGCUGGUUGCCCAGAGCAGGAUGAGUCUUUAGUGACCCUACCACGGACUGCCACUUCAUCUUGGGACACAGUUAAGAAGAACUCACACAGAGGGGGUGGCUCAGACAUGGAGAUCAAAAUGAGAGCAAUUUUUCCGGUCAACCUUCGGUGGUUGUACUGGAGGUGAUGCCGUCCGCCGCAUGCUGCUGAUACAGUACAGCCUGCGGGGAAGAAAGACAAAGAAAGCCUUCCAGGACCUGGCUGUAUGCAGGGUUAUAACAG